CGGCGGACGGGUGAGUAACGCGUGGGUAACCUGCCUCAUACAGGGGGAUAACAGUUAGAAAUGACUGCUAAUACCGCAUAAGACCACAGUACUGCAUGGUACAGUGGUAAAAACUCCGGUGGUAUGAGAUGGACCCGCGUCUGAUUAGGUAGUUGGUGAGGUAACGGCCCACCAAGCCGACGAUCAGUAGCCGACCUGAGAGGGUGACCGGCCACAUUGGGACUGAGACACGGCCCAG
rnacentral:rRNA from 1 species